rnacentral:rRNA from 1 species
UCUGGUUGAUCCUGCCUGAACUGAUGUGUUUAUUUCAAAGAUUAAGCCAUGCAUGUAUAAGUUUAAUCGUUUAUCGAGAAACCGCGAACGGCUCAUUACAAUGGCCAUUAUUUACUUGAUCUUGAUUGUCUAAAUGGAUAACUGUGGAAAAGCUAGAGCUAAUACAUGCACUAAAGCUUUGUCCUUACGGAAAAGCGCAUUUAUUAGAACAAAACCACGCGGCUUCGGCUGCUUCUUGUUGACUCAGAAUAACUUAGCUGACCGCAUGGCCUUGUGCCGGCGGCGUGUCUUUCAAGCGUCCACUUUAUCAACUUGACGGGAGCAUAAUCGACUCCCGUGGUGGUGACGGAUAACGGAGGAUCAGGGUUCGACUCCGGAGAAGGGGCCUGAGAAAUGGCCACUACGUCUAAGGAUGGCAGCAGGCGCGCAAAUUACCCACUCUCGGCUCAGGAGGUAGUGACGAGAAAUAACGAGACUGUUCUCUUUGAGGCCGGUCAUCGGAAUGGGUACAAUUUAAACCCUUUAACGAGUAUCAAGCAGAGGGCAAGUCUGGUGCCAGCAGCCGCGGUAAUUCCAGCUCUGCAAAUACAUAGAAUUAUUGCUGCGGUUAGAAAGCUCAUAGUUGGAUUCGUAUCGAUACCUUGGAACCCUUCGGGUGUCUCUAGGUGUUAUCGAUUUAUCGUAAUGUUCGGUUUUGAGUCCUUAACAGGAUUCUUAACAGGCAUUGCAAGUUUACUUUGAACAAAUCAGAGUGCUUCAAACAGGCGUUUUCGCUUGAAUGAUCGUGCAUGGAAUAAUAGAAAAUGAUUUCGGUUCAGUUUUAUUGGUUUUACGGACUGAGAUAAUGGUUAACAGAGACAAACGGGGGCAUUUGUAUGGUCCCGUGAGAGGUGAAAUUCUUGGACCGUGGCCAGACAAACUACAGCGAAAGCAUUUGCCAAGAAUGUUUUUAUUAAUCAAGAACGAAAGUCAGAGGUUCGAAGGCGAUCAGAUACCGCCCUAGUUCUGACCGUAAACGAUGCCAACUAGCGAUCCGCCGAUGGAAAUUAUAUUGCCUUGGUGGGGAGCUUCCCGGAAACGAAAGUCUUCCGGUUCCGGGGGAAGUAUGGUUGCAAAGCUGAAACUUAAAGGAAUUGACGGAAGGGCACCACCAGGAGUGGAGCCUGCGGCUUAAUUUGACUCAACACGGGGAAACUCACCCGGCCCGGACACUGUGAGGAUUGACAGAUUGAUAGCUUUUUCAUGAUUCAGUGGAUGGUGGUGCAUGGCCGUUCUUAGUUCGUGGAGUGAUUUGUCUGGUUUAUUCCGAUAACGAGCGAGACUCUAACCUACUAAAUAGUUGGUACAUACUCUUAGUGUAUACAGCUUCUUAGAGGGAUUUGCGGCGUUCAGCCGAAAGAAAUUGAGCAAUAACAGGUCUGUGAUGCCCUUAGAUGUCCGGGGCUGCACGCGCGCUACACUGGCAAAAUCAACGUGCUUGUCCUACCCUGAAAGGGGCGGGUAAACCAUUGAAAAUUUGCCGUGAUUGGGAUCGGAAAUUGCAAUUAUUUUCCGUGAACGAGGAAUUCCAAGUAAGUGCGAGUCAUCAGCUCGCGUUGAUUACGUCCCUGCCCUUUGUACACACCGCCCGUCGCUGCCCGGGACUGAGCCAUUUCGAGAAAUUUGGGGACCGUUGAUUUAAUUUUUCUAAAUUACUUUGAUGGAAACCAAUUUAAUCGCAGUGGCUUGAACCGGGCAAAAGUCGUAACAAGGUAGCUGUAGGUGAACCUGCUGCUG